CAGCCGCCACGGGAAUACAGAGGGUGCGAGCGUUAAUCGGAUUUACUGGGCGUAAAGCGUGCGUAGGCGGCUUCUUAAGUCGGAUGUGAAAUCCCUGAGCUUAACUUAGGAAUUGCAUUCGAUACUGGGAAGCUAGAGUAUGGGAGAGGAUGGUAGAAUUCCAGGUGUAGCGGUGAAAUGCGUAGAGAUCUGGAGGAAUACCGAUGGCGAAGGCAGCCAUCUGGCCUAAUACUGACGCUGAGGUACGAAAGCAUGGGGAGCAAACAGGAUUAGAUACCCGUCGUAGUCCCUGUCUCUUAUA
rnacentral:rRNA from 1 species